GCGGCUACAGCAGCGGCCGCUGCGGCCGCCGGACCAAACUGAAGUGGUGACGGCGACGGUAGCGGUGGUGGCGGCGGUUGCUGUUGUUGUUGCUGCUGCUGCUGCUGUUGUUGCUGC